AUUUAUAUAGUUUAAAUAAUUAAAACAUUACAUUUUCAAUGUAAAAAUAAAAUAUUUUUUAUAAAUU
rnacentral:tRNA from 1 species